GGGGAGCGACGCGGAGAGCCCGAUUUGUCCCUCCUCCAGCCACUUGUUGCUUAUCCAUGGGCCUGGGACUGCCAUUUGGAUCCACACAGGGGAAUUAAAACAAAAAGAAUAAUGAGGCUCCUGGCCGUGGCGGGGUGCGCAUUGGCCCUCUUGCCCUGCGUGUAGCAGGUGGAGGAGACAGGCUCCAUCCUUAGAGCUUCCCAGAGCCCAGGGUUGGCCUGAAGACACCAAAGCAGAGGACAGCCAGGAAUUGGAGGGCAAGACAGAAGGGAUUUUAUUCCAAGUGGUCAACAAUAUGGUGUCCAGCUGCUGCAUAUGAUCUGCCUUCUCUCUGACCUCUAAUCCCACGAGACUAUCUGCAUCAUCUGGGGUAAUCCUAAUAUCCAGAGCUGCAAAUAGAAGUCAUCCCUCCAUUGGCUAGCACAAUGGGAUCUUCAGAGACUCUCUCAUACGUGGAUCAUAACCCUUAACACUAAUCCCCUCUCUGACCCAGCGCUGUGAUUCUAGGCUAGUCUGAUUAAAGCCCCAGAAUUUCACAACCUUUUAAGAAUACAGUCAAGAAAGAAGAGAUCAUUGUUUCAACCUGCCUCUGAAUCGUAGUAAAUAACGGGCCCUGAUAUUAACAAGGCAGCUUCCCUCCUAAGUGCGAAGGACCCUUGAAAAGGGUAUCUUAAUCAUGGGUGUCAUAUUUUAUGAUUGUGUCUGUUUGUAUUUAGUACACUUGUUAUCCUUGAUGUUUUCGCCCUGAGGACAUCAACUGAACAAAGUUGCAUACAUCUUUGUGGAUUACCCUUUCUGCAUCCAUAAGUUAUCUGCUCUUUUAAAAUAAUUUGUACUAAAACACCGAGAGUUUUUUCUAAUGGGAAUAGACAGCUAGUGUUUUUUUAAUGCAAAUGACUUCUCCCCACAUUCUCCCCAGCCCAAAGCUAAAUCUGCAUCAGCAUCGGAGGGGCUCGGUGCUUCUAGAAGCAAUUUAGGCACAGCAGUUGGGAAUGGCAGUGUGACUUAAAGCCCCUUGCUCCGUAUUAGGGAAAGCUACAUGCGAAUUCCGAAAGAGAUUCCAUAGGAUGAGCAGAGAUGUGUUCAGGGCAUUUAUUAUCAUACUCGCUGCUCUUGUUUUUAAGAAACCAGCUUCUGUUCAGGUGGUUUUGUUUGUAUGCAAAGAUUAAACUGUUAAAUAAAAUCACAAGCAC
rnacentral:lncRNA from 10 species